CUGCCCAUCAAGCACGGCUUGUGUGUUGGGUCGUCGUCCCCUCUUCGGGGGGGACGGGCCCCAAAGGCAGCGGCGGCACCGCGUCCGAUCCUCGAGCGUAUGGGGCUUUGUCACCCGCUCUGUAGGCCCGGCCGGCGCUUGCCGAACGCAAAACAACCAUUCUUUCCA
rnacentral:misc_RNA from 1 species